rnacentral:rRNA from 1 species
UCUACGGGUGGCAGCAGUGGGGAAUAUUGCGCAAUGGGCGAAAGCCUGACGCAGCGACGCCGCGUGAGGGAUGAAGGUCUUCGGAUCGUAAACCUCUGUCAGCAGGGAAGAACGGUCACUGUGCUAAUCAGCAGUGACUUGACGGUACCUGCAAAGGAAGCACCGGCUAACUCCGUGCCAGCAGCAGCGGUAAUACGGGGGGUGCGAGCGUUAAUCGGAAUGACUGGGCGAAAGCGCUCGUAGGCGGAAUGGCAAGUCCAGGGUGAAAUCACCGCGCUCAACGGUGGAACUGACUUUGAAACUGGCAAACUGGAGUGUGUGAGAGGAUAGUGGAAUUCCAGGUGUAGGAGUGAAAUCCGUAGAUAUCUGGAGGAACAUCAGUGGCGAAGGCGACUAUCUGGCACAUAACUGACGCUGAGGAGCGAAAGCGUGGGUAGCAAACAGGAUUAGAUACCCUUGUAGUC